UGUGUACUAAAAGGCUCUCAUCUGAAGAUGAUGCAAUGCCAUGGCCAAUUAUUCUGAUGGGUGAUGUGUGGAAGAAGAAUGAAUUGUGCCUUUUAAAAUAUGUCUUCCAAAAACCUGGGACCACUCUGCACAAGAGGUUAAUGGCCAGUUCAUCGCUUGAUAACUGCAACAAUCAAUGAUGACUUCCAUGGGCCAUCACAGGGCAGGAGCUCCAUCUGGUGGCUAUGAAGAAGCCAUAUACAUUUCACACUUAUUAAAAUAAGUGCAUCUUUUCAAAGGACAUCUCAUGACCUGCAAGCCAUAUGGAUCCUCUCUGCUUCUUGACACCUUCCAUCCCUCUAUUUGCAAUUCCAGCCAGACAAAAAAAACAGGCAGUUUAUCAGCCUUUGAAUGCACAUGGCUGAUGGGUCAUGUUUGGUUUAGCAAGCUGGGAGCCUGUUUCAAAGAUUAGGAAUAGCUGUCUUCCUUCUAUGACAGAACCAAGCCACAAUGUUAGCCAUAUAUCCGUGUUCAGAUGUAAAAGGCAAACAGAACACUUGCAAGAUCAGCUCAUUUAAUUUCUGAGGACUAUUCAUUUCAAUAUCAUAUAACAUGAACUUCACUAUACAUCAAUAUGCUUAUUAUAGUGAACUGAGUAUUUUUGUGUGACAAGGAUAAUGCAUAAGAUGUCUGCUUUUUGAUCCUUUUUAUUGAUAAAUCACGGUCUCUGUUUUGUCCUCUGGGGAGAUUUUGAGGGUGUCUAUUAAAGAUGUUGUUAAUAUA